UAGGGUCUCUUCCACAAUGGACGCAAGUCUGAUGGAGCAACGCCGCGUGAGUGAAGAAGGUUUUCGGAUCGUAAAGCUCUGUUGUUGGUGAAGAAGGAUAGAGGCAGUAACUGGUCUUUAUUUGACGGUAAUCAACCAGAAAGUCACGGCUAACUACGUGCCAGCAGCCGCGGUAAUACGUAGGUGGCAAGCGUUGUCCGGAUUUAUUGGGCGGAAAGCGAGCGCAGGCGGAAUGAUAAGUCUGAUGUGAAAGCACACGGCUCAAGCGUGGAACUGCAUCGGAAACUGUCAUUCUUGAGUGCAGAAGAGGAGAGUGGAAUUCCAUGGGUAGCGGUGGAAUGCGUAGAUAUAUGGAAGAACACCAGUGGCGAAGGCGGCGCUCUGGUCUGCAACUGACGCUGAGUCUCGAAAGCAUGGGUAGCGAACAGG
rnacentral:rRNA from 1 species